AUUGAACGCUGGCGGCAGGCCUAACACAUGCAAGUCGGGCGAGCGGCGGACGGGUGAGUAAUGUAUGGGGACUGCCUGAUGGAGGGGGAUAACUACUGGAAACGGUAGCUAAUACCGCAUACCAUCAGAUAACCCAUAUGGGAUUAGCUGGUAGGUGGGGUAAAGGCUCACCUAGGCGACGAUCUCUAGCUGGUCUGAGAGGAUGAUCAGCAACACUGGGACUUGGACACGGCCCAGACUCGUACGGAGGCAGCAGUGGGUAAUAGUGCGCAAGGGGGGAAACCCUGACGCAGCCAUGCGGCGUGAAUGAAGAAGGCGUGUGGGUUGUAAAGUUCUUUCUGUAGCGAGGCGUUAACUACAGAAGAAGCACCGGCUAACUACGUGCCAGCAGCCGCGGUAAUU
rnacentral:rRNA from 1 species